UUGCAUAUGAUGAGAUUUGCUCGGAUUCCCCUUCAAGACAUUAGGGUGAUGUAAACUCGAGAAUUCUGAUGCA
rfam:Citrus clementina cultivar Clemenules unplaced genomic scaffold scaffold_4, whole genome shotgun sequence.